GUUGUCCUUCUCCACUGGACUUGUCUGGAUGAGGCAGAGCAGCCUCCUUCAUAAAGGAACCAGGAGUAAUUUUGGGACCAUGACAGUGUUCAUUGGAAGCACCUUUUAAUCAAGAAGAAGUCCCAUGAAGUAGGGACCAUUAACCCCUCCAGCACUCCCUGGUGAAACCCAUGGAACCCAAAAGGUCUGCCCCACAAAACUGUGGUUCCCAACAUACCUUCUCAUUAAGGAUUCUUAAUCAAGCCCUUCCAGAAUGCCAGUGUAUCCACACCUGUCCAUCUCCUGGCUGCAGCAGGGAUCGCCCUUCCUAUUCGUUGGGCCUGCCUUUAGGCCAGAUGAGUGUUGUCCACUACCUCCCGACUCUGACUUGUCUGGAUGAGAUUUGAGGGGCUCUUUUUAUGCCAGACCUGGAUGCAUUUCUGGUUCUCUGAGGUGGGGAUGAUUUGUCCCUGCAGCUCCCCUUGGAGGCACCAAUGGACCACCUCAGAGCCGCACUACUGGACUACAACUCACAGCCAAUCCUGUGGGCAUCCAAGUCAGCACUAUAGUCAGAAGGACUGCCACUUGUUGUGUCGAGGUAACAAAUAGCCUACAAAAUUAUCGACGAUUCUUUCUACUAAACUGGCUUCUUGGUCAGGUGAGGGACCAUGGACCAUCCUGGCUGGAACGCCAGUCCUUGCCUGGUGAUGAAGCGGAAGCGGAAGCGGAAGUAGAAGCAGACAAUAG